GACGAACGCUGGCGGCGUGCCUAAUACAUGCAAGUCGAGCGGACGAAUCGAAAGCUUGCUUUUGAUUCGUUAGCGGCGGACGGGUGAGUAACACGUGGGCAACCUGCCCUGUAGACGGGGAUAACACCGAGAAAUCGGUGCUAAUACCGGAUAACACGCAAUGUCGCAUGACGUUUCGUUGAAAGACGGCGCAUGCUGUCGCUACAGGAUGGGCCCGCGGCGCAUUAGCUAGUUGGUGAGGUAACGGCUCACCAAGGCGACGAUGCGUAGCCGACCUGAGGGGGGGAUCGGCCACACUGGGACGUGGACACGGCCCAGACUCCUACGGGAGGCAGCAGUAAGGAAUCUUCCGCAAUGGACGAAAAUCUGACGGAGCAACGCCGCGUGAGCGAAGAAGACCUUCGGGUCGUAAAGCUCUGUUGUUAGGGAAGAACAAGUAACGCAGUAACUGGCGUUACCGUGACGGUACCUAACGAGAAAGCCACGGCUAACUACGUG
rnacentral:rRNA from 1 species